CUCCCUUCUCUCUCUCUCCUCCCACCAAAAUCUCAGUUUCUUCUCUCCCACCCAACCCAUAAUGCCAACACCGACUAUUGCACCUCCUCAGGACGUCUUUCUAUCGCUCCCUUAUCCCAUUCCACAAGAACAUCCUCCCCCGUUACCCCUCAUCUCGUGGCUCAAGAACAUCCUCCUUCGACGGCUAGCUGAGGUCGACAGCAAUGAGAGCAAUAAGAGAGAUGAGAGAUUCUUCAGUUCCUCCCAUGAUACAAUCAUCAAUGAUGAUCUGUUUGGUUGCUAGGAUUUGUUCCUCAUACUCCCAUUCUCUUGUAAUCUAUUUUCGAAAUUUAUUUAGUUGAAAUUUUGUUAAUUUCGUAAUGGGUGGUGGUUGGG
rnacentral:misc_RNA from 1 species